GACCUUGUGGCGCAACGGUAGCGCAUCUGACUCCAGAUCUGAAGGUUGCGUGUUCAAAUCACGUCGUGGUCA
rnacentral:tRNA from 1 species